AUAAGUCUGAUGUGAAAGCCCUCGGCUUAACCGAGGAACUGCAUCGGAAACUGUUUUUCUUGAGUGCAGAAGAGGAGAGUGGAACUCCAUGUGUAGCGGUGGAAUGCGUAGAUAUAUGGAAGAACACCAGUGGCGAAGGCGGCUCUCUGGUCUGCAACUGACGCUGAGGCUCGAAAGCAUGGGUAGCGAACAGGAUUAGAUACCCUGGUAGUCCAUGCCGUAAACGAUGAGUGCUAAGUGUUGGGAGGUUUCCGCCUCUCAGUGCUGCAGCUAACGCAUUAAGCACUCCGCCUGGGGAGUACGACCGCAAGGUUGAAACUCAAAGGAAUUGACGGGGGCCCGCACAAGCGGUGGAGCAUGUGGUUUAAUUCGAAGCAACGCGAAGAACCUUACCAGGUCUUGACAUCUAGUGCAAUCCGUAGAGAUACGGAGUUCCCUUCGGGGACACUAAGACAGGUGGUGCAUGGCUGUCGUCAGCUCGUGUCGUGAGAUGUUGGGUUAAGUCCCGCAACGAGCGCAACCCUUGUCAUUAGUUGCCAGCAUUAAGUUGGGCACUCUAAUGAGACUGCCGGUGACAAACCGGAGGAAGGUGGGGAUGACGUCAAGUCAUCAUGCCCCUUAUGACCUGGGCUACACACGUGCUACAAUGGACAGUACAACGAGGAGCAAGCCUGCGAAGGCAAGCGAAUCUCUUAAAGCUGUUCUCAGUUCGGACUGCAGUCUGCAACUCGACUGCACGAAGCUGGAAUCGCUAGUAAUCGCGGAUCAGCACGCCGCGGUGAAUACGUUCCCGGGCCUUGUACAACACCGCCCGUCACACCAUGGGAGUCUGCAAUGCCCAAAGCCGGUGGCCUUAACUUUCGGGAAAGGACGCUCGCUCCGCCUCCCUCUCGGUGCCUA
rnacentral:rRNA from 1 species